rnacentral:rRNA from 1 species
AGAGUUUGAUCCUGGCUCAGGACGAACGCUGGCGGCGUGCCUAAUACAUGCAAGUCGAGCGGACAGAUGGGAGCUUGCUCCCUGAUGUUAGCGGCGGACGGGUGAGUAACACGUGGGUAACCUGCCUGUAAGACUGGGAUAACUCCGGGAAACCGGGGCUAAUACCGGAUGGUUGUUUGAACCGCAUGGUUCAAACAUAAAAGGUGGCUUCGGCUACCACUUACAGAUGGACCCGCGGCGCAUUAGCUAGUUGGUGAGGUAACGGCUCACCAAGGCGACGAUGCGUAGCCGACCUGAGAGGGUGAUCGGCCACACUGGGACUGAAACACGGCCCAGACUCCUACGGGAGGCAGCAGUAGGGAAUCUUCCGCAAUGGACGAAAGUCUGACGGAGCAACGCCGCGUGAGUGAUGAAGGUUUUCGGAUCGUAAAGCUCUGUUGUUAGGGAAGAACAAAUACCGUUCGAAUAGGGCGGUACCUUGACGGUACCUAACCAGAAAGCCACGGCUAACUACGUGCCAGCAGCCGCGGUAAUACGUAGGUGGCAAGCGUUGUCCGGAAUUAUUGGGCGUAAAGGGCUCGCAGGCGGUUUCUUAAGUCUGAUGUGAAAGCCCCCGGCUCAACCGGGGAGGGUCAUUGGAAACUGGGGAACUUGAGUGCAGAAGAGGAGAGUGGAAUUCCACGUGUAGCGGUGAAAUGCGUAGAGAUGUGGAGGAACACCAGUGGCGAAGGCGACUCUCGGGUCUGUAACUGACGCUGAGGAGCGAAAGCGUGGGGAGCGAACAGGAUUAGAUACCCUGGUAGUCCACGCCGUAAACGAUGAGUGCUAAGUGUUAGGGGGUUUCCGCCCCUUAGUGCUGCAGCUAACGCAUUAAGCACUCCGCCUGGGGAGUACGGUCGCAAGACUGAAACUCAAAGGAAUUGACGGGGGCCCGCACAAGCGGUGGAGCAUGUGGUUUAAUUCGAAGCAACGCGAAGAACCUUACCAGGUCUUGACAUCCUCUGACAAUCCUAGAGAUAGGACGUCCCCUUCGGGGGCAGAGUGACAGGUGGUGCAUGGUUGUCGUCAGCUCGUGUCGUGAGAUGUUGGGUUAAGUCCCGCAACGAGCGCAACCCUUGAUCUUAGUUGCCAGCAUUCAGUUGGGCACUCUAAGGUGACUGCCGGCGACAAACCGGAGGAAGGUGGGGAUGACGUCAAAUCAUCAUGCCCCUUAUGACCUGGGCUACACACGUGCUACAAUGGACAGAACAAAGGGCAGCGAAACCGCGAGGUUAAGCCAAUCCCACAAAUCUGUUCUCAGUUCGGAUCGCAGUCUGCAACUCGACUGCGUGAAGCUGGAAUCGCUAGUAAUCGCGGAUCAGCAUGCCGCGGUGAAUACGUUCCCGGGCCUUGUACACACCGCCCGUCACACCACGAGAGUUUGUAACACCCGAAGUCGGUGAGGUAACCUUUUAGGAGCCAGCCGCCGAAGGUGGGACAGAUGAUUGGGGUGAAGUCGAAACAAGGUA